CCAAGAAACUGGCUGUUCCUCAUUGCAGGAAGACCAGUGAUGUGUUGUUAAUAAAAACAGAAGGAUAUAUAGCAAAAAUGAUGGCUGGAGAGAUGCUUCCAGGUAGCAAUUGAGUUUUGAGCAUGAUAAAGGAGAAAUUCACACCAAGUGGUAGUAGAAGGGAAGAACAGGAGAAGGUAUGUUCAGGGCAGGGGCGGAGGAAGGGGGGUAGUAUGGGUGGCCCGCUCCAGGUGUCAUCACUGAGGGGAGUGACAUUCGGUGUGCCGCCCAUCCGUAACUCCCAAGCCUACCCCGAGCUGUCAGGGGAACGGGCGGAGCCACACUGCCUUACCAUCUACCUUUCCCCCUUCCCCCUUCAUUUCGACAGCUCAGGGGAGGCUUGGGAGUUGCGGGCAGGCGGUGUGCCAUUGGCCCUCACUCCCGGGCUGCUUCCGGGGGGAGGAGGUCUCCCCCAAGCUGUCAAAAGGAACAGGGAAGGGAGGAAGGCUGCUGGCAAAGUGGCACGGCUCCCCCCCCCCGCCACCCAGGAAACAGUCCGCCAUGGGCAGCUGGCUCCAUCCCCCCUGGGCAGCUUGCUCUGCACCCAUGGGCGGCUUGCCCCCAGAACGCUUGCUGUGGCACAUCGCUUGGACACUCGCCCCGCUCCCCUGGGAUGCUUGCCCGGCCCCCAUGGCCCCGCCCCUGAGUGCACAACAUGUGCGCCGCUCCAGGUGCCAGAGCAGCUAGUUCUGCCUCUGGUUCAGGGUUGUCCUGACUGGUUAUUGACUCACUUGAGUACUUUACUGCAGGACACUGAACUCUCUUCUGCACUGGAGAUACAGGCUAGCUGUGUAUGUCAUGUUUAAAUACCCUUUUGGUCAAUUCACUCCUGGUGCUUGGUGGUGUCUGCCUCUUGAUUCCUUGUCCAUGCAAACAAUUUGUUUCCUACAUGUGAAGCAGGGAUUGUUAGCAUUUCCAAAUUGGUUUCAAAUCCAGUUAUUCACAAAAUGAUAGUUUUGUUUUGAUGCUAAGUAGGGCAGACAACACGGCUAAGGUUUAGUAAACGGAAUUUACAGGCUGUUCACUUUGUAGUGAAUGGGUGCAAUCCAGCUCUCUUUUAUUUUUUUAAGUCAGUUAUCAUAGGCUUCAAUAGGAAAUAGUUUAUACUCUGGAUUUCCUGCCAAAAUCUACUCUACAAGUAAACUGAAACAGGGGAAAUAAAUUACUGUGCAUUUUGCUUCUCCCCCCAAAAAAUAAACGUGAGGAAUCAGAAAGACACCAUCUGUUAAAAUAAUUUUGUAUUAUUCGCAUUGACAGCAAUAUACACAGGUCCCAGUUUCUGGGUUUGGCUUUGUUAUUGCAUGCUCUCCAUUGUUGAAUAAUCUAGUCUUGUAUAUAUGGCUUAUCCUUGCUAUUUUAAGCACCCCUAUCUAUUUAUUAAAGGGAUUCAUAAUCAUGUAACUAGCAAUUGUUUGAAACAUAUGAAAUCCACAUUCCAGAGGCAGAAUGAACACGGGAUGAACAGCCUCAUUUGGAUGCUUGAACACAGAAGUGCUUCAGGGGACAAAUAGUAACUGCUAUGCCAGAACAAUACAAAAUUGCAGAGAUGCUACUAUGGAAUGAAAGUUAGAUAUGAAUGUCAGUUAUCUAGAGCAAGAACUUAAUUGAGGGUUUCAUAAGGUUGUGGGAAAUGACAUUUUAUAAAUGUUA